CCCUCCAAAGACUACGAGUACUUGUAUACCCACCCCCAUCCGUGUUCACUGGUGGUGGCAUCAGUGAAUGCAAGGGAGCGCCACGGGCAACAGGCCGCAGCGCCCAAAUCUAAGGAGGCUAAGCGCCUCGAUUUGUUUGGCCGUAAAGUUUAUUCAGCCGGAGGGCUGCAACUUAGAGUGGCUAACCAGCAGGCGCUCCUGAGCCGCUACAACUUUAACUCCUGGAACUCUAUGGGGAAGUUCAAGGAGUUGGUUCCCCAAGAGUCCAGGGAGGAGUUUGGGGCCUUGGUAGAGGAGGGUAAGAAGGUGGCUCGGACCUCCUUACAGGCCUCCUUGGACAUAGCGCACUCGGCUGCGAGAACCCUGGCUUCGGGCAUCGCUAUGCGAAGGACCUCCUGGCUCCAAGUUUCGGGUUUGCCCCCUGAAUUGCAACAAAUCCUGCAGGAUUUGCCCUUUGAAGGACAGGGGUUGUUUUCAGAGAAGACGGACUCUCGCCUGCAGAGCCUCAAGGACUCCAGGACAAUCAUGCGCUCCCUGGGGAUGCAUGUUGCGGGCCCUCAGCGCAGGCCAUUUAGGCCUCAGCCUCAGCGCUUCUACCCCCCCCCCCACCUCGUCAGAGACAGGACUCGGCCCGGAGGCGCGGGCGAGGUGGUAGACGAAGGUGGACCGGCCCUCAACCCGGUCAGAACCAAGGGCCACCAAGACCACCCGCAGGCCCCAGGCAGAACUUUUGAAGGUGCGGUCGAGGACGGCGCCCCAGUCAUCCCCCAGGAUCCAGCCCCCUCCUUUCGGGAUCGCCUCUCCCACUUCCACCGUGUUUGGUCCCUUAUAACUUCGGACCGUUGGGUCCUUCGCACGGUGGAGAGGGGAUACGCUAUCCAGUUUUCUUCAAUCCCCCCCUCCCACCCCCCUUCCCCGUCCCUCUUCAGGGACCCUUCUCACGAGCAACUUCUUAUACAGGAGGUUUCCACGCUCCUUGCUAUGGGGGCCAUAGAGGAGGUUCCAGUAGAGUUAAGGGGCAGGGGAUUUUAUUCCCGUUACUUCCUGAUCCCCAAGUCCAAAGGAGGUCUACGACCCAUCUUAGACUUGCGCGGACUCAACAAAUUC
rnacentral:lncRNA from 1 species